GUGCCUUUUCUUUUCUUUCUUUCUCUCUUUCUCUCUCUCUCUCUCACCCUCAGCUCUUUUGCUUUUCCUGGGUCUUGUGAGAGAAGGAGGGGGGUGGAGGGAGAGAGAGAGAGAGAGAGAGAGAAAGGCUGGCUUGGCUU